rnacentral:rRNA from 1 species
AGGAUAAACGCUGGCGGCGUGCCUAAAACAUGCAAGUCGAACGGACCCUUCGGGGUUAGUGGCGAACGGCUGAGUAACACGUGGGUGACCUGCCUUCGAACGGGGGAUAACUGCCCGAAAGGGUGGCUAAUACCGCAGAUGUCAUUGAUUCGGUUCGGUGACUGAACUUCCGGGGUUCGGAGAGGGGCCUGCGUCCGAUUAGCUAGCUGGUGGGUAAAGCCUACCAGGGCGACGAUCGGUAGCUGGUCUGAGAGGAUGAUCAGCCAGACUGGGACUGCGAGACGGCCCAGACUCCUACGGGAGCAGCAGUUAGGAAUUUUGGGCAAGUGGGCGAAAGCCUGACCCAGCAACGCGCGUGGCGAAGAAGGCCUUCGGGUCGUAAAGCCCUUUCGACGGGGAAGAUAAUGACGGUACCCUGGGAAUCGACGCCCCGGCUAACUACGUCGCCGAGCACGCCGAC